CCAAUAGCGUAUAUUAAAGUUGUUGCAGUUAAAACGCUCGUAGUUGAAUUUCGAAAUUUUUUUAUCGGUUGAAUCAACAGGUUCGUACUGAUUUUAAGAAUUUCUACCUUCUGGAGAACCUUAAUGUCAUUUAUUUGAUGUUUUGGGAAACCAGGACUGUUACCUUGAAAAAAUUAGAGUGUUUAAAGCAGGCUUAUGUCUGAAUAUAUUAGCAUGGAAUAAUGAAAUAGGACGGCAUGGUUCUAUUUUGUUGGUUUCUAGGAUCACCGUAAUGAUUAAUAGGGAUAGUUGGGGGCAUUAGUAUUCAAUUGUCAGAGGUGAAAUUCUUGGAUUUAUUGAAGACUAACUUCUGCGAAAGCAUUUGCCAAGGAUGUUUUCAUUAAUCAAGAACGAAAGUUAGGGGAUCGAAGACGAUCAGAUACCGUCGUAGUCUUAACCAUAAACUAUGCCGACUAGGAAUCGGACGAAGUUAAUUUUUUAAUGACUCGUUCGGCGCCUUACG
rnacentral:rRNA from 1 species